UUUGGGAUUAUCCUAUAAUCCUAUUGGGAUUGAUCAAAUCAAACCCAUAUUGAGUCCAAUUAAAUCCAAUCAAAUUAGACUUGAUACAAGCUCUAUUGCUUAAUCAAAUUGAGCUAAUUAGCAAUCUUAUUGCUAAUUAAUCCUCCUAUAACUCACUAACUUUUUAGUAAGUUACAUAAUGCAAUAUUUAUAUUAGAUCAAUUAUCAAUUAAAUUGAUAAUCAAAUCC
rnacentral:lncRNA from 1 species